rnacentral:rRNA from 1 species
AUUGAACGCUGGCGGCAGGCCUAACACAUGCAAGUCGAGCGGAUGAAGGGAGCUUGCUCCUGGAUUCAGCGGCGGACGGGUGAGUAAUGCCUAGGAAUCUGCCUGGUAGUGGGGGAUAACGUCCGGAAACGGGCGCUAAUACCGCAUACGUCCUGAGGGAGAAAGUGGAGGAUCUUCGGACCUCACGCUAUCAGAUGAGCCUAGGUCGGAUUAGCUAGUUGGUGGGGUAAAGGCCUACCAAGGCGACGAUCCGUAACUGGUCUGAGAGGAUGAUCAGUCACACUGGAACUGAGACACGGACCAGACUCCUACGGGAGGCAGCAGUGGGGAAUAUUGGACAAUGGGCGAAAGCCUGAUCCAGCCAUGCCGCGUGUGUGAAGAAGGUCUUCGGAUUGUAAAGCACUUUAAGUUGGGAGGAAGGGCAGUAAGUUAAUACCUUGCUGUUUUGACGUUACCAACAGAAUAAGCACCGGCUAACUUCGUG